rnacentral:rRNA from 1 species
AAACGCUUGAAGUCAGUCGCGUCGUCCAGGACUCAGCCUUGGUUUUCCUUGGUGUAUUUCCUGGUUGACGGGUCAACAUCAAUUUUGACCGGUGGAAAAUGGCUUGGGGAAGGUGGCACCCUCAACCGGUGUGUUAUAGCCUCUUGUCGUAUACACUGAUUGGGAUUGAGGACCGCAGCACGCCCUUGUGGCCGGGGUUCGCCCACGUAACGUGCUUAGGAUGUUGGCAUAAUGGCUUUAAGCGA